rnacentral:rRNA from 1 species
UACGAAGGGUGCUAGCGUUGCUCGGAAUUACUGGGCGUAAAGGGCGCGUAGGCGGACAGCUUAGUCUGAGGUGAAAGCCCAGGGCUCAACCUUGGAAUUGCCUUUGAUACUGGCUAUCUUGAGUUCGGGAGAGGUGAGUGGAAUGCCGAGUGUAGAGGUGAAAUUCGUAGAUAUUCGGCGGAACACCAGUGGCGAAGGCGACUCACUGGCCCGAUACUGACGCUGAGGCGCGAAAGCGUGGGGAGCAAACAGG